AUAAAAGGUAGCACAGUUUUAUAGUUUCGUCACAGAAUUGUGUAGCAUUUCCCCUGGAAUUCGAAUCUCAACAAGAUGUUUUUCAAACUAUUCCUCUCUAUCGUGCUUUUUGCUUAUGCAACUUCUGGUGAACCACAACUACCAAAUGUUUCCCCUCCAUCGAUGCCUGGUACCCCUGAUAUGCCCAUGAACCCUGAGGUGCCACCCAUGGAAACUCCCGCACCUCCCGCAAUUGAUGAAUUGCCAGUACCGGCACCAAGUAGCAUUUCCGAUCGAAUUUCAAAUCGAUUCAACUAGGUAGUAGGUUCCUAAAUUAAAGAUGUUGUAAAUGCCAUUGGAAUGGAUCUGAUCGAGUGGUUUUGAGUAAAGUUGUACCAAAUUUUCCAAUAAAAACAAUCAAAACCAAA